rnacentral:rRNA from 1 species
CCAACCACGUGCCAGAAGCAUCGGUAAUACGUGGGACACAAGCGUUACCCGGAUUCACUGGGCGUAAAGAGAUGCGUAGGCGUCUAGAAAAGUUCUGUGUUAAAUCCCAAGGCUCACCCUUGGAACCGCAUAGAAAACUCUCUGGAUUGAGUCAUGUAGAGAAUAGGGGAAUUCCUGGUGGAGCGGUUAAAUGCGUUGAUAUCAGGAGGAACACCAAUGGCGAAAGCACCUAUUUGGACAUGUACUGACGCUAAGGCUCGAAAGUGUGGGGAGCAAAACGGAUUAGAUACCCCGGUAGUC